CGGGACACGUGGUAUCCUGUCUGAAUAUGGGGGGACCAUCCUCCAAGGCUAAAUACUCCUGACUGACCGAUAGUGAACCAGUACCGUGAGGGAAAGGCGAAAAGAACCCCGGCGAGGGGAGUGAAAAAGAACCUGAAACCGUGUACGUACAAGCAGUGGGAGCCUCUUAAUGGGGUGACUGCGUACCUUUUGUAUAAUGGGUCAGCGACUUAUAUUCUGUAGCAAGGUUAACCGAAUAGGGGAGCCGAAGGGAAACCGAGUCUUAACUGGGCGUUAAGUUGCAGGGUAUAGACCCGAAACCCGGUGAUCUAGCCAUGGGCAGGUUGAAGGUUGGGUAACACUAACUGGAGGACCGAACCGACUAAUGUUGAAAAAUUAGCGGAUGACUUGUGGCUGGGGGUGAAAGGCCAAUCAAACCGGGAGAUAGCUGGUUCUCCCCGAAAGCUAUUUAGGUAGCGCCUCGUGAAUUCAUCUCCGGGGGUAGAGCACUGUUUCGGCAAGGGGGUCAUCCCGACUUACCAACCCGAUGCAAACUGCGAAUACCGGAGAAUG
rnacentral:rRNA from 1 species